rnacentral:rRNA from 1 species
UCGUGAGGCGGAGCUAAUCCCUUAAAGCCAUUCUCAGUUCGGAUUGUAGGCUGAAACUCGCCUACAUGAAGCUGGAGUUACUAGUAAUCGCAGAUCAGAAUGCUGCGGUGAAUGCGUUCCCGGGUCUUGUACACACCGCCCGUCACACCACGGAAGUUGGGGGCGCCCGAAGCCACUUAGCUAACCCUUUUGGGAAGCGAGUGUCGAAGGUGAAAUCAAUAACUGGGGUGAAGUCGUAACAAGGUAGC